CAGUCGCCGCGGUAAUACGAAGGGUGCAAGCGUUACUCGGAAUUACUGGGCGUAAAGCGUGCGUAGGUGGUGGUUUAAGUCCGUUGUGAAAGCCCUGGGCUCAACCUGGGAAUUGCAGUGGAUACUGGGUCACUAGAGUGUGGUAGAGGAUAGUGAAUUUCCGGUGUAGCAGUGAAAUGCGUAGAGAUCGGAAGGAACAUCUGUGGCGAAGGCGACUAUCUGGGCCAACACUGACACUGAGGCACGAAAGCGUGGGGAGCAAACAGGAUUAGAUACCGGGUAGUCCCUGUCUCUUAUACAC
rnacentral:rRNA from 1 species